AUGGCUAUGAAGGAAGGUUUAUCUCUUGCAUAUUCUUUGGGCCUUGAUAAUGUUGAAGCCGAGUCGGAUUCUCUUGAAGUGAUCAACUUCUGCACUGGCCAAUCGCAAUGGUGGGAUUCAGCGGCGGCUAUUUACGCGGAGUGUGUUGAUUUAGCCAAUCUAAUUGGGAAGGUUAAAUUUAAACAUUGUAAUAGGGUAGUGAAUGGUGUAGCUCAUGAGCUUGCUAAGUUCAGCUUUUUGAAUAAACAUUCUGGUAGAUGGGACGAUGAUCCUCCAAGUUUCCUAUUAGGAGGAUUAGCGAACGAUGUAAUCAUUAUUUGA
rnacentral:rRNA from 1 species